rnacentral:rRNA from 1 species
UGGGGAAUAUUGCGCAAUGGACGAAAGUCUGACGCAGCGACGCCGCGUGUGGGAUGACGGUCUUCGGAUUGUAAACCACUGUCGGGAGGGACGAAUACGCCGCAAGGCGGGUGACGGUACCUCCAAAGGAAGCACCGGCUAACUCGGUGCCAGCAGCCGCGGUAAUACGGAGGGUGCGAGCGUUGUCCGGAAUCACUGGGCGUAAAGGGCGCGUAGGCGGCCUGAUAAGUAGGGGGUGAAAUCUUGCGGCUUAACCGCAAGGCUGCCUUCUAAACUGGCGGGCUCGAGCACAGUAGAGGCAGGUGGAAUUCCCGGUGUAGCGGUGGAAUGCGUAGAGAUCGGGAAGAACAUCAGUGGCGAAGGCGGCCUGCUGGGCUGUUGCUGACGCUGAGGCGCGACAGCGUGGGGAGCAAACAGG